rnacentral:rRNA from 1 species
UCACCUGCCGAAGCAACUAGCCCUGAAAAUGGAUGGCGCUCUAGCGUCGUGCCUAUACCGGGCCGUCAACGGCAAAGUGGGCCGGUGCCCGGCCGGUUAACUCCGGCCGGCUCGACCGUUAAGCCUUGACGAGUAGGAGGCGCGCGGCGGUGAGCGCAGAAGGGUCCGGGCGCAAGCCUGCCUGGAGCCGCCGUCGGUGCAGAUCUUGGUGGUAGUAGCAAAUACUCUAGCGAGGGCCUGGAGGGCUGAUGUGGAGAAGGGUUUCUUGUGAACAGCCGUUGCACAAGAGUCAGUCGACCCUAAGCCCUAGGAGAAAUCCGAUGUUGAUGGGCAGCGAUCAAGCGGCUUCGCGGUCGGUCAGUAGUCGACCCGGCCAGCCGACUGCUCCCGUCGGGCGAAAGGGAAUCCGGUUCCUAUUCCGGAACCCGGCUGCGGAACCGUAACUUCGCGGGCACUCGCCUGCGAGCGCUCGUCGGGGUAACCCAAAAUGACCCGGAGACGCCGGCGGGAGGUCUGGAAAGAGUUGUCUUUUCUUUAUAAGCGUUCGAGUUCCCUGGAAUCCUAUAGCAGGGAGAUAGGGUUUGGAACGCGAAGAGCACCGCAGUUGCGGCGGUGUCCGGACCUUCCCCCCGGACCUUGAAAAUCCGGGUGAGGGCUACGCGGAAAUGUCGCGCCGGCUCGUACCCAUAUCCGCAGCAGGUCUCCAA